UACGGGGGGGGCAAGCGUUGUUCGGAAUUACUGGGCGUAAAGGGCUCGUAGGUGGCCAACUAAGUCAUACGUGAAAUCCCUCGGCUUAACCGGGGAACUGCGUCUGAUACUGGAUGGCUUGAGGUUGGGAGAGGGAUGCGGAAUUCCAGGUGUAGCGGUGAAAUGCGUAGAUAUCUGGAGGAACACCGGCGGCGAAGGCGGCAUCCUGGACCAAUUCUGACACUGAGGAGCGAAAGCCAGGGGAGCAAACGGG
rnacentral:rRNA from 1 species